rnacentral:lncRNA from 1 species
CACGAGAUCGUAUUACGUACAAUGAGAAAGCCUUGAAGAAAAAAAAAUAUUUAUUUAUUUUUGUAAAUAAUAUCACGUUAUACAUAUUAUAAUGAGUCGAUAUAUUUUUAUAUGAUUUUAUCAAAAAAAUUCUGAGAAACUGUAGAAAAUAUCUCGUAACUGAUUUAUUGCAAUAUAAAGGAUAUUACAGAUUUUAAAACAUGAUAUUUUUUCACUCACCGUAUGUAACAAACUAUUAUUAUUUUUCUAUUGUACUUAACUAACCAUAGUUAUCUAAAUAAUCCAAACAAACCGACCGUUUCUAGAGUGAGUGGCAAAGGGAAUGGUGGUUGGUACACGAGGUCCCAAGUUCGAAUCCUAGUUGAUUCGCAUUUCCAGCUAAAUUUAUUUCUAAAUGAAAGAAACGAAACGGAUAGACAAAAAAAAAAAUAAUCCAAACAAACUUACAAAACAU